UACGAAGGGGGCUAGCGUUGCUCGGAAUCACUGGGCGUAAAGCGCACGUAGGCGGAUUGUUAAGUCAGGGGUGAAAUCCUGGAGCUCAACUCCAGAACUGCCUUUGAUACUGGCGAUCUCGAGUCCGGGAGAGGUGAGUGGAACUGCGAGUGUAGAGGUGAAAUUCGUAGAUAUCGCAAGAACACCAGUGGCGAAGGCGGCUCACUGGCCCGGUAUGACGCUGAGGUGCGAAAGCGUGGGGAGCAAACAGGG
rnacentral:rRNA from 1 species